CAUCACCUAGACCUCACCCAUAAUUCAUGAAAGUGAGCUGAUUGAUCCGGUUACAAGGUAGCCACCUCCAAAUUUAAACCUAAUCAUCAUGACCAAACUAAUAUCCGUGUGGCAUUUAAAUGAAAUUUUGCUGGAUCAGGAGGCUGUGCGAGUUUAGCUGGCAAAUAUUUUCCAUCAGUUCUACUGGUGGAACACCAAAAAGAGGAAUCCACUACAUAGGCACAGUCCGAAUGAACAGGAAUGAACCACCAACCAAGGUUGCAGCAGAACUGGACCAUGGAGAAACUACUCAGGGACAAGGAGCUGGUCUCUGAGGAGGAGUACCUCCGUGGUCUAGAUCCAGCCCCACAGUCCUGCCCCACAGCCAUGACAUGUCAAAAGGAAACAAACCAACUGAAAUGUUCCAAACCCAAUGAAAAAAAAUGGUGUUCCAAAAAUAAACAUUGUUGUGAUAAAUAAAUUGCC